CACGUAGGGCGCGAGCGUUGUCCGGAAUUAUUGGGCGUAGAGAGCUCGUAGGCGGCCUGUUGCGUCCGCUGUGAAAGCCCGGGGCUUAACCCCGGGUCGGCAGUGGAUACGGGCAGGCUAGAGGUAGGUAGGGGAGAAUGGAAUUCCCGGUGUAGCGGUGAAAUGCGCAGAUAUCGGGAGGAACACCGGUGGCGAAGGCGGUUCUCUGGGCCUUACCUGACGCUGAGGAGCGAAAGCGUGGGGAGCGAACAGG
rnacentral:rRNA from 1 species